GCGGGGCCGCGGCGACAGCGGCAGCACGGGGUGAAAUUUCUGGAAGGUGCGGCUGGAGCGGGGCUGGGAUCAGGAUCGGGGUCGGGCCGGGAGCGGCGGGCGGUGACGGCCCCCAGCGUCGCCGCCAUGAAUCACAAGAGCAAGAAGCGGAUCCGUGAGGCGAAGCGCAGCGCCCGGCCUGAGCUGAAGGACUCGCUGGACUGGACCCGUCACAACUACUGCGAGACCUUCCCCCUCAGCCCCGCCGCGUGCAAGGAUAACGUGGAGAGGGCAGAUGCACUCCAGCUAACAGUGGAGGAGUUUGUUGAGCGUUAUGAAAAGCCUUACAAGCCCGUGGUGUUGCUGAACGCUCAGGUGGGCUGGUCUGCCCAGGAGAAGUGGACGCUGGAGCGGCUGAAACGCAAGUACAGGAACCAGAAGUUCAAAUGUGGGGAGGACAAUGACGGUUACUCUGUGAAGAUGAAGAUGAAGUACUACAUCGAGUACAUGGAAACCACGCGUGAUGACAGCCCCCUCUACAUCUUUGACAGCAGCUAUGGAGAGCAUCCCAAGCGAAGGAAGCUCCUGGAGGACUACAAGGUCCCCAAAUUCUUCACUGAUGAUCUGUUUCAGUAUGCAGGGGAGAAACGACGGCCGCCAUACAGAUGGUUUGUGAUGGGCCCACCUCGUUCUGGAACAGGAAUUCACAUUGAUCCCUUGGGAACUAGUGCAUGGAAUGCCUUAGUCCAGGGACAUAAGCGUUGGUGCCUGUUCCCAACCAGCACUCCCAGAGAGCUGAUCAAAGUGACACGGGAAGAGGGAGGGAACCAGCAGGAUGAGGCCAUCACCUGGUUCAAUGUCAUCUAUCCUCGGACACAGCUGCCCACCUGGCCCCCCGAGUUCAAACCCCUGGAAGUCUUACAGAAACCAGGAGAGACAGUCUUUGUGCCAGGUGGCUGGUGGCACGUAGUCCUCAAUCUUGACACGACUAUUGCCAUCACACAAAACUUUGCCAGCUGUACCAACUUCCCAGUGGUGUGGCACAAGACAGUAAGAGGGAGACCUAAACUGUCACGGAAAUGGUACAGGAUCCUAAAGCAGGAGCAUCCUGAAUUGGCAGCCUUGGCUGAUUCAGUUGACCUGCAGGAAUCUACUGGUAUUGCUUCUGACAGUUCUAGUGAUUCUUCCAGUUCAUCAAGUUCCAGCUCCUCAGACUCUGAUUCAGAGUGUGACUCUGGCUCCGAGACAGAGGGGAUGAUGCACCGCAGGAAAAAGCGCAGGACGUGCGGGAUGAUGGGCAACGGGGACACAACUUCCCAGGACGACUGCGUGAGCAAAGAGCGCAGCUCCUCCAGGAUUAGGGAGUCUUGUGGAGGCCGCAGCUACCCCUGAGGGAUAGCACCACCUGCCCAGAGGCAGCUGCCGAUCGAAGCUCCGUUAGCAGCCAGCCAGCUCUGUUCUACCCCCUUCUGCUUCCAUUUCUCACACUCCUUAAGUUUGUGUCACUCUUCCUCGAUGCAGACGUCUUCGUUCCGUGCUGUCCAAGGUUGGCUCCUGAAUUGCCUGUAGGGGAAUGCCCUGACUGUGCCCUUUGUGCAAUGCUUUGUCCCUUCUGCACCCCGGGUGAGUGCACUAUAACCCAGCUGUGGGUAAGGACAUGCCAAGUAUUUAAUGGGUCAUGGAACUGGCAAGGAAGACAACGGUCAUUUUUUAAAGAACUCUUUUUAAAACCAGCAGGUAAAUGUAAAAAACCUGCCUUGCUUUGACACUGUCAUAUGUUUACAUGUUGUCCUGUACACUUGAGGAAAGGAGCACCAGCCCUUUUGGCUUAUUGUGGACUUCACACCAGAAUUCUGGGAAGAACAAGGAAGAAAUGAGCUUCUGCAAGAACUGAGCUGUGGAAAAUGAGUCUUUGGAUCUUGCCCUGCUGCAGGAGAACACUGCUGUCAGGGCUGGCACUUCCAAGUGUGUGUCUCAUAAAAUCCUGGAGUACGGGCACUUGGAAAGAAUCUAUCUGGAUCAUCGAGUUCAACUUCUGGCCCUGCAUAGAAACCAAGAACCCCACCCUGUGCCCAAGAGCAUUGUCCAAACACUUCAUGAACUCGGGCUCAGUGCUGUGACCAUUGCCCUGGGUAGGCUGUUCCAGUGCCCAACCACCCUCUGGGUGAAAAAUGUGUUUAUGAUACCCAGCCUAAACCUGCUCUCGCUCAGCUCCAGCCAUUUCCUUGAGUCUCGUCACUGGUCACAAGAGUGAAGAGAUUGGUACCUGCCCCCCUGCUGUCCCUCAUGAAGAUGCUGAAGACCCAAAUGAGGCCUGACUUCAGUCUACUCCAGGCUGAACAGACCCAGUGACCUCAGCCACUCCUCAUAUGGCUUCUCCUCAAGACCCUUCACUGUUCUCAUGGCUUCCUUCAGGCACUCUCCAGUGGCUUCAUGUCUGUUAGAUGUUGUGGUUCCCAAAACUGCCCCCAGCACUGAAGGUGAGGCUGCCCCAGUGCAGAGCAGGGCAGGACAAUCCCCUCCCUUGCCUGGCUGGCAAUGCUGGGCCUGGUGUCCCCAGGACAUGGUUUGCCCUCUGGGCUUCAGGGCACUGCUGACUCAGAUCCAACUUGCCACCAACCAGGACUCCCAAGUCCCUUUCCACAGCUCUGCUCUCCAGCCUCUCGUUCCCCAGUCUGUCCACACAACCAGGAGUGCCUGGAUGCCAGUGCAGAAUCCAGCUGUUGCCCUUGUUAAACUCCACACAGUUGGUGAUUGCCCAUCUCUAAUUUGUUGUGGCCUCUCUACCCUCAAAGGAGUUGACGGCUUCUCCCAAUUUAUUGUUGUUGGCAAGCUUAAUAUUCCUUCCAGUCCUGCAUCCAAGUCAUUAAUGAGGAUGUUGAAGAGCACAGGGAUGAGGAUGGAGCCCUGCAGAAGCCCACUGGUGACCAGUGCCAACCUGGUGUAACCCCAGUCACUGUCACCCUUUGUAUCCAGACAGUGAGCCAGUUGCUCACUCAUCAUGUAACACAGUUGCCCAGCUAUGGGUUGGACAGCUUGUCCAGAAGGUCACUGGGAGAAGACAAUAUCCACAGCUUUGCUGAAGUCCAAAAGGUGACAUCUACUGUCUUUCCUAAAUCAAACAGGUGCGUCACCUUGUCACAGAAGGAGAACAGAUUCAACAAGCAGGACUUUCCCUUCAUGAAGCUGUGCUGCCUGUGACUAAUGCCUUCACUGUCCUCCAGAGAAGAUCCCUGUUCAGCCAAGGAAGGGAAGGUGGUGUGAAUGCCCCAAGCGCUGAAGCAACUUCAGCAGAGGUGACCAUCAGCCUGAAGCAUCUUUUGUUGUGUGUGUUGCUCCAUGCACACCUGAGGUGCCACACCUGAACCAGCAACAGUCCAUCUACUUCCACUCUGUGUCACAGUGACAGGUAACAAAGCUGCACUAGCACCUUGUGAUGGGAAGCUCGAUGGAGCAGCAGAAUCCUGGAGUUUCUUGCACAGCAAAAACUGUGAUGGCAAAAAAGUCUGCAUUUGCCAGUAAUUCCAGUCUUUCAGGUGCAGGUGUGAUGUUUAGCACAAGGCAGCUGCUGACAAAGUCUGACUCUGGCAGGAUCACAUUUGCUGGGCUUGAAACAGCAAACAGUUCUGGGGCUGUGGGCUUGCUCAGCCCAGUGCAGUUCACAUCCCUAAAUGACUUUCCUUUGAGGUUAUGUGUUCCAGUCCUUUCUGAAAGUUGCAGUGCCAAUUUUAAAGGAUUGAAUAGGGGGACAUGUUGUUGUUUUAUGCUUUUUAAAAAUGCAGUGUGUUGCUUAAGUCUGUGUAGAUGCAUUUGUAUUAUGCCAGGUAAAGCUCUCGUCCCUAAGGGAUCUUUUGGAGCUGCUGGUUUGUUACAUUAGCAGGGGCUAGUGCUGGUGGUGUCUGUGUGACUGAAGGUGCUUCCAGGAAGUCUGAACUUUCAUGGGCUGCUUCAGUGGGUGCUCUUGUGAGCCCUAGGAGGUGGGUAUAGAGCUCACUUCAGCCAUUCUUUGGGGGGAGAAAACUACAGAACUGCUGUGCAUGUAGUAAACACACAGCAAUGCCCAGGCACUGAUGAAAGAGCAAAUUAAAAGAGAUUAAAGCCUCAGCUGUGACUUUUUUAAAUGUGUUGGGUUUGGUGGAACCUGGAGUGUUGCUUUUCUGGGUUCUCUGGUCCAUUUUUAACCUUGUGUCUUCCUUAUUUAAACACUCCUGGGCCCUGUCCUUUUGUACAAAGGAAUCCUAAAUAUGUUUGUUGAGAUAUCUGGUUUUGACUCUUUUGUGCCAGUCAGUUUGUAUAAGAGCAGUAUGGUGGUAGGGAAAUGGAGAGAGGGAAGAUUUAUUUAUACAUGCUUUAUAGCUGUCCAGACUCACAGAUUUCCAGUGAUAGCCAGGCCUAAGCAAGCACUCUUGCUCUGUAGCCACUGCAGAUUCUUCCACAAUAUUAUUUUAAAAAGCCUCCAACUUCUCCAACUCCUGUCAUUUCUGGCCAAGGCUGAACAGCCUGGAAGCCUGCACAGUCUGUGUCCUCAGAGAAGGCUGCAGCUGCUGCCUUUUGGAAGACUGUGGGGCCUGGAAGGCUCACAAGACUCAGCUCUGUCAUGAUGAGGGGAGUCCUUGGAGAUCUGUUCCUGCCUUCUCUGGUGGCUGGGCAGCACCUCACAGAGAUGCAGCUGCAUUUGGCACAUGUGGUUCAUUUUGCACAGUCUUAAAAUCUUAUGUGAAAGCCUGAUUGCUGUCCUGGGAAAGCCACACCUCUGCCUCUAGAAGCACAGUGGGAAGAUCAGUUCUUUCACACCUGUCAACUCUUCCAUGGUGUGAAAUAAAGCAAUUCCAGGUGAAGCCUGUGUUGGUGUGGCAUCCCUCACAGAAAAGCAGUGUUUACAAUGGGCUGCAGACAUCAUGAUACCAGCCACCCUCUUCUGACUGCUCCACAGGGCAUUCCUGCUGUGAAACAGUGUCUGUGCAGGCUACCUGGGAAUCAGGACUCUGGUCUCUCCAGUUCUUCCACUUCUGGCUUCUGCCUCAGCCACUUUGGUGAGUCUUUGAGCAGUGAGGAAAAUCCCUACCUCGAAGGGCUGUUGUGAGGCUGAACUGUAAUUGCUGUGCAAGAUGCUUUGAAGCCAUCCACCCAAAAAAGGUGUUCAUUCAUCCUGAUCAACUUGAGACUUCCAAGCCUGGUGGGAGCUCUUGGUAGCAGAAAACAUUGGAGAUGUUGUUCAACACUCUUGGCCAUGUAGUGUUGUGUGGUCACCCUUUCAGAGCUGCAGUGUGGUACAUAAAUUGUAGCAGAACAAGACUUUCUGUUUUCACCAGGGUUGAACUGUUGCUGUUCCGUGGCCUGCUCUAAACAGGUGGUCCUGCUAGAGCAGGAUCUCUUUUUAAAUAGGACUAGAUGCAAUUCUCUCAUCAGGGAGUCAGAUUCACUGCCCUUAUAGGAAUGGGAGGAGCUGGUGCUUCCCAGGCACUCAUUUCAGGCUGGGUGAGUGAGGAACAGUUAAAAACUCUGCUCCCUUUGUGCCUGUGCUUGUGGGAAGCUGGCUGGGGAGAGUGGGCUCUGCUCCCGUUUCUCCAGGCUUGUCCUUCUUGGGACAUCCUUGUCUUUUGUUCCAGCCCUGCUGCUUUUGUACUCUAGAGGCCCUGGAUGCAGCUGGUCCAGCACCCUGUGGGCUCCUCAUUUCCUUGAGCCCCAGAGCUGGAGCUCAGCUUUGCCUCACGUCUCCGGGGCUGUGGGGGCUGCCCUGUUCCCCAGGCAUGGGCAGAGAGCCUCGGGCUGGGUGUCAUUGUCACAAUCCUGCCUGCUCUGGGAAAGGUGAUGGGAUUUGGGAGCUCUGGCUGUGCUUUAGACCCUGGUGAUGGACACAGGCUGUGAGAGUUAAGGAGGAAACAACCCAACACUCCACCAGAAUCACAAAUGUGGACAAGAGACACCAGUCCCAGCACCUGUUCUCUGCACAAGUGCUGUGGGAGCAGGUGACACCAAGGAGCCUCUGGCAGACUUCCUCCCCGUCCCAGCUCGAGUGUGCUAGCUCCAGUUUCUUCUCAGUUACAUCAAACCUCUCCAAAUGCUUCAAGGAGCAACAGCACCCUCUUUCAUAGUUAACCUCUACUUUCCUCCCUGAGUCCCCAGCCAUUGUGGGCUGGGAAACGAGACUUUGCUGAAUCCAGUCUGAAAUGCCUGUGUGGGCACAUUGUAAUGGAAGGUUUUUGGCAUCCCUCUUGCAGAGGGGGGAAGGAAAGUGUUACCCUUAAUGUGACAGUCCCACUGUUAGCUCCAAGCCCUGCCACUACCCUUAGCUGCUUUUAUCACCCAUCCAGCAGAGCUGGGAUACUUGUCUUGUUCGGAUGAUUGUGGUUUUGCUUUUUAUUUUAAAUAAAAUCAAUUAU